rnacentral:rRNA from 1 species
GAGCGAAUGGAUUGAGAGCUUGCUCUCAAGAAGUUAGCGGCGGACGGGUGAGUAACACGUGGGUAACCUGCCCAUAAGACUGGGAUAACUCCGGGAAACCGGGGCUAAUACCGGAUAACAUUUUGAACUGCAUGGUUCGAAAUUGAAAGGCGGCUUCGGCUGUCACUUAUGGAUGGACCCGCGUCGCAUUAGCUAGUUGGUGAGGUAACGGCUCACCAAGGCAACGAUGCGUAGCCGACCUGAGAGGGUGAUCGGCCACACUGGGACUGAGACACGGCCCAUACUCCUACGGGAGGCAGCAGUAGGGAAUCUUCCGCAAUGGACGAAAGUCUGACGGAGCAACGCCGCUUGAGUGAUGAAGGCUUUCGGGUCGUAAAACUCUGUUGUUAGGGAAGAACAAGUGCUAGUUGAAUAAGCUGGCACCUUGACGGUACCUAACCAGAAAGCCACGGCUAACUACGUGCCAGCAGCCGCGGUAAU